UACGGAGGGGGCUAGCGUUGUUCGGAAUUACUGGGCGUAAAGCGCACGUAGGCGGCUUUGCAAGUUAGAGGUGAAAGCCCGGGGCUCAACUCCGGAAUUGCCUUUAAAACUGCAUCGCUAGAAUUGUGGAGAGGUAAGUGGAAUUCCGAGUGUAGAGGUGAAAUUCGUAGAUAUUCGGAAGAACACCAGUGGCGAAGGCGGCUCACUGGCCCGGUACUGACGCUGAUGUGCGAAAGCGUGGGGAGCAAACAGG
rnacentral:rRNA from 1 species